UUAUCUUUUACCACAAUUUUUUGCAAAUUCCUUUGGAAAAAAACCCCAAAAACAUAGAACACUACCUUUCCUCGCUCGACGCAACGAUUCAAGUUUCCCUCCUCAGUUAUCUAUCCAAAUAUGGCACUUCAUCGGUGCGUCACGAUUUCCAGUUAGAAUUGGAAUCAGCACGGAAUUAGAAGACCUACACGUACAUUCAACUCCACAAUUAAACCUCUUCCAAGUUUAAUUGAUAGAUACACAUAUUGGAGGCUCUGGUGGGGUUGCAAAUUUGACCGUUUAUUGCUUCGUGUUGUGUCCCAACUGUUAUCAACACGUUAUUGGAGGAUUGAUUCCAAGUGGUGUUUUAAAUUCUGAAGAAGGAAGUUACUUCUGACAACGAUAGAGUGUUCGAUGAAAUGGCCCAUAGGGAAACCUUUCGCACUGCUCCAGAAAAUGUCGCCAGUGAUGCUGCGAAAGUGUAUCUUCAGAAGCUAUGACUUCUUUCGUUAUAUUUGGAGGACGAAAAAUUUUGCCCCAUUCGUUUCAAGAAUCGAAUGUGGUUUUUUGAAUUUUUGUUGUCUUUUAGUUUUACAAUAAGUUAUGUAUCCUGUUUUAUGGUGCGUGAUUGAUGGAUGGACUCUCAUUUUUAUGGUUACUAAUUAUUUAUUGGUAAUAUUACUUCUUAUUUGAAGAAGCAUAUGUGUUCUUACUGGGUGGUUUUCAAAGUCCUUAUUAUUUAUGUCAUGGCAUUUGAUUUUGAUGGUGUUGUCGGAUGUUUGAUUAGGAACAUGAAAGGAAGAUGGAGCAAAUUGGCUACAACUUUCAUCAAAGUAGUAAGGCACCAAAAAAAAGGGACGAAUGUUUGGCGGAUUAUUGCAGACCAUUUGUCCAUCAACGGCACCAAUGGAUUGGAAGAGGCUACACGAACUCACAGGAAAGAUACUACCUGCAAGGUUAG